AGCGAACGCUGGCGGCAGGCCUAACACAUGCAAGUCGAACGAACUCUUCGGAGUUAGUGGCGGACGGGUGAGUAACACGUGGGAACGUGCCUUUUGGUUCGGAAUAACUCAGGGAAACUUGUGCUAAUACCGAAUGUGCCCUUCGGGGGAAAGAUUUAUCGCCAUUAGAGCGGCCCGCGUCUGAUUAGCUAGUUGGUGAGGUAACGGCUCACCAAGGCGACGAUCAGUAGCUGGUCUGAGAGGAUGACCAGCCACACUGGGACUGAGACACGGCCCAGACUCCUACGGGAGGCAGCAGUGGGGAAUCUUGCGAAAUGGGCGAAAGACUGACGCAGCCAUGCCGCGUGAAUGAUGAAGGUCUUAGGAUUGUAAAAUUCUUUCACCGGGGACGAUAAUGACGGUACCCGGAGAAGAAGCCCCGGCUAACUUCGUA
rnacentral:rRNA from 1 species